rnacentral:rRNA from 1 species
UACGUAGGGAGCAAGCGUUGUUCGGAUUUACUGGGCGUAAAGAGCGUGUAGGCGGCCUUACAGGUCAGCUGUGAAAACUCGAGGCUCAACCUCGAGACGUCGGUUGAAACCGUAAGGCUAGAGUCCGGAAGAGGAGAGUGGAAUUCCCGGUGUAGCGGUGAAAUGCGCAGAUAUCGGGAAGAACACCCGUGGCGAAGGCGGCUCUCUGGGACGGUACUGACGCUGAGACGCGAAAGCGUGGGGAGCGAACAGG